UACGGGGGGGGGCAAGCGUUGUUCGGAAUUACUGGGCGUAAAGGGCUCGUAGGUGGCCAACUAAGUCAUACGUGGAAUCCCUCGGCUUAACCGGGGAACUGCGUCUGAUACUGGAUGGCCUGAGGUUGGGAGAGGGAUGCGGAAUUCCAGGUGUAGCGGUGAAAUGCGUAGAUAUCUGGAGGAACACCGGGUGGCGAAGGCGGCAUCCUGGGACCGAUUCUGACGCUGAGGAGCGAAAAGCCAGGGG
rnacentral:rRNA from 1 species